UCGGGAUAACACCUGGAAACAGAUGCUAAUACCGGAUAACAACAGAUGAUGCCUAUCAACUGUUUAAAAGAUGGUUCUGCUAUCACUCUUGGAUGGACCUGCGGUGCAUUAGCUAGUUGGUAGGGUAACGGCCUACCAAGGCGAUGAUGCAUAGCCGAGUUGAGAGACUGAUCGGCCACAUUGGGACUGAGACACGGCCCAAACUCCUACGGGAGGCAGCAGAC
rnacentral:rRNA from 1 species